rnacentral:rRNA from 1 species
GACGAACGCUGGCGGCGUGCUUAACACAUGCAAGUCGAACGGUGACUCAGAGCUUGCUCUGACGAUCAGUGGCGAACGGGUGAGUAACACGUGAGCAACCUACCCUUGACUCCGGGAUAACAGUUGGAAACAGCUGCUAAUACCGGAUACGACCUCGACCGUCAUCGGUUGAGGUGGAAAGUUCUGGCGGUCAAGGAUGGGCUCGCGGCCUAUCAGCUAGUUGGUGAGGUAACGGCUCACCAAGGCUUCGACGGGUAGCCGGCCUGAGAGGGCGACCGGCCACACUGGGACUGAGAUACGGCCCAGACUCCUACGGGUGGCAG